GACGAACCGAGCGAACGUUGUUCGGAAUCACUGGGCUUAAAGGGCGCGUAGGCGGGCUGUCAAGUCUGGGGUGAAAUCCCGCGGCUCAACCGUGGAACUGCCUCGGAUACUGACGGUCUCGAGGGGGGUAGGGGCGAGCGGAACUGAUGGUGGAGCGGUGAAAUGCGUUGAUAUCAUCAGGAACUCCGGUGGCGAAGGCGGCUCGCUGGACCUCUUCUGACGCUGAGGCGCGAAAGCCAGGGGAGCAAACGGGAUUAGAAACCCCCGUAGUCC
rnacentral:rRNA from 1 species